rnacentral:lncRNA from 1 species
UAAACAGCUUCAAGUAAUUCUGUAAGAUACAUGGGUUCUCUAUCUCCUCCUGCUUCAACCCCUUCCCCAGAUGCAACUUUCAUAUUUACAUCUAAAAAUACCUAGACCAUCAGUUUCCUCCUCAAGAAUACGUUAACGUUCAAUAGUAAGCCAUGACUCGGUUGCUCAUUUUGCAGCAAGGGCUUUGGGGUCGAGUGAGGAGGACUGGAACUGGUACACUUUGGGGACACCAGUCAGUGGUGGCCCCUUAUUGCAGGAUCCCAUCAAACCUUCUGCACCACUGAAGCACUCUCACCACAGCCAAGCCCUCCUGCCUUCAUGACACCUUACACAAGCACACAACAUCACUUCUCUAUCACAGGACAGAGACACUGCAUCUCAUGCACUCCCUGUUGGGGCACCGAGGCGAAUGUUGUCAGCCUCAGAGCUGCCCAGAGAUUAACUUUUGCUUCAGAGAGAGAGUUUCAUGCUAAGGGCAUCUGCAUCCAGGGGACAGGGCCUUGGUUUAAAUGUGAAAUGUUUCCCACAAAUGUCUCUCAAAUGUGAGGACACUUGCUGGCUGGUGCUGUUUUGGGAGAUUGUAGAAAGCAUUGCUAGAGGAAGUGAGUUCCCAGGGUAGGACAUGAUGUUUGAUAGCCCAUCCCCACUUCCUGUUUCCUCACUGCAGACUCAUCAUGGCCAGGUACCCCAUAGCCAUGGCUUUCGUGGCUUCCGGCCACGGUGGACUGUAUACCCUCAAACUGUGAG